rnacentral:rRNA from 1 species
UACGUAGGGGGCAAGCGUUGUCCGGAUUUAUUGGGCGUUAAAGAGCGUGUAGGCGGCUAGGUAGGUCCGUUGUGAAAACUCGAGGCUCAACCUCGAGACGUCGAUGGAAACCAUCUGGCUAGAGUCCGGAAGAGGAGAGUGGAAUUCCUGGUGUAGCGGUGAAAUGCGCAGAUAUCAGGAAGAACACCCGUGGCGAAGGCGGCUCUCUGGUACGUGACUGACGCUGAGACGCGAAAGCGUGGGGAGCGAACAGG